GCAGCUCAAAAUGGGUGGUAAAUUUCAUCUAAAGCUAAAUAUUGGCCAGAGACCGAUAGCGCACAAGUAGAGUGAUCGAAAGAUGAAAAGCACUUUGGAAAGAGAGUUAAACAGUACGUGAAAUUGUUGAAAGGGAAGCGCUUGCAACCAGACUUGCCCGCGGGCGAUCAGCCGGUAUUCUUACCGGUGCACUCGCCCGUGGUCAGGCCAGCAUCGGUUUGGGCGGUUGGAUAAAGCCCCCCGGAACGUAGCUCCUCUCGGGGAGUGUUAUAGCCGGGGGUGCAAUGCAUCCUGCCCGGACCGAGGACCGCGCUUCGGCUAGGAUGCUGGCGUAAUGGUUGUAAGCGACCCGUCUUGAAACACGGACCAAGGAGUCUAACAUCUAUGCGAGUGUUUGGGUGUCAAACCCAUGCGCGUAAUGAAAGUGAACGGAGGUGGGAACCCUCAAGGGUGCACCAUCGACCGAUCCUGAUGUCUUCGGAUGGAUUUGAGUAAGAGCAUAGCUGUUGGGACCCGAAAGAUGGUGAACUAUGCCUGAAUAGGGUGAAGCCAGAGGAAACUCUGGUGGAGGCUCGCAGCGGUUCUGACGUGCAAAUCGAUCGUCAAAUUUGGGUAUAGGGGCGAAAGACUAAUCGAACCAUCUGCUACUAGAUGGCAUACGGGCCACGCGCGCCCAAGUAGCCCCCGUGCGCGGGGGCGACACCGCCGGUCUUCCGGGGACGCCUCCGGGCUACCCGCAGUGAGCUUCCGGGCUCAUCCACAGACUAAGUGGCGGUGGCCGUGCCCAGCGGCGCGGUUAGGAUAUAGCCGAUCCCCCCUC
rnacentral:rRNA from 1 species